rnacentral:lncRNA from 1 species
GCUUGUUUGUGUUUAUUCGUCUGAGUGGAGUGUUUUCUCUGCUCCUGUAUAUAUAAUAAAUGUGGGAGACUUCACAUUGAUGAUCUUACCACGCCGAGGAAUGCAUAGACGGAAUAACUUACUCGUUUGUUAAAUAACCAAACAGCAUUAUAAAGCGCGUACACACACACACACACACUCACACACCUACACACACACCUACACACACAUGCACGCAUACAUACACAUACACACGCGCGAACGCUCACACAUGCAUAGACGCACACACGCACACAAUUAUAUAUACGCAUAGUGUAAGAGGAAUAGUGUGCGUGUGUAUUCGAGAGAGAGAGAGAGAGAGAGAGAGAGAGAGAGAGAGAGAGAGAGAGAGAGAAAGAAUGAAUGAAACAGAGUGAGUGCGAAACGGCGA